UGCUGGAAUCGUAUGGAACGCCCAGAUCCUCCUCCCUCCCCCAGUGACUGAUGAUGUAAGCGUUUCGGAAAGCGGGGCUCUGAAGCAAAACAAGCCCAGAGCGCGCGGAGCGACCCGCAGUGCCCGAGCCCGGCGCACGCACGACCCGCCCCCCGACUCGCGUUAUUGCUGUGCACACGCGGACCGCCGUGACGCGCGGGCAUUGUGUGCAGCUAGCAGAAAACAACGGCGAGCGCAGCCAGCUCGAAGAAGCCCCCCCAAUAAAAUGAGACUGAUGCAGGGCUCGCCGUUUUCCGUACCGGGAGACCCAGACUCAGUGGGAGGGGAGGGCGAGAGUAGGGAAGAUAAAGUAGCCCCCGUGGCCGCUCCUGCUUGCAGGGAGGAUAAUAGAGGGCUCGGUGGAUGCUCGCUCAUAGUUUACUGGAGGUCACUCUCGCCUGCGUGAGCUGGUGGGGAAGGGGCAAGGGCCUGGAGCGGGUCCCCACAGCCAAGCCGGACACGGCGCAGCGCCCCACGCUCUCGGGGAAAUCUGGGGACCGUUGGCAUCACGUCAUGCAGAACCAAACAGGGGCGGCGAAAAGAGGCAAGAGAGCUAAAAAUACUCCCGCGGGGAACCGGCCGGAGGAGGUGGGGGCAGGAGGGCCGAACGGCUGACUACGCGCACGAAGUUGACUUGGACUUGGAUGCUGGGAUUCCCGAGCCCCUCUCGGGGGCUGACGGGCUUGCAGCGCGAACACCUCGGGAGGGGGACCAGGAGGAAGCCCCCUUGGCUUUCUCGGCCUGAGGAGCGGACUCCGCUGCCCUGUGGCCCGCCCUGUGCGGGGCAGCCCGCCCCGGCGCGCCCGGCCCUCUGCUUACGUGACUGGUGGCCACGCCGGAGCCCCGGCACGGAAUAAACUAGGAGGUGGCGGCGGCCAGGGCGGCCGGGGGCGGGGAGACAGACGGCUGGAGGACUGAGGUCUCCGAUUGUCUGUGCGAAGCGGGGGGAUUGUGCGGGGAACGCGGUGGAAGCUCAGUACACCUCACUCGGGCGGGGGGUGAGGGGAGGCAAACCAGGUAUGUCAGACACUGCCAAGGUGCCCUCUUCGGGUGCACCCCUCGCCAGGACCCGCGCCACUGUACAGACUCCGGAGAACCCGGGACUCCAGGCCGGGGGCUAAAGAAUCGCGCCCCUCCCCCCUCCAACAAAAGCGAACACAUCAAACAAAACCACGUCUUCACCCAGCUCACACCAGAGCUGGCUUUUCAGAAACUACCCUCCUGACAAAUGCCCAUUCCCCACACACACACCCGCCCAACCAUGAAUAAUCGCAAACCGAUUCAGCUACACAGUCGGCGAUGCGCCUUUCUCGCAACAUAGGCACUCGGAGAAAGCAGAGAAGAGAAAGAAAAGAACGCACAACCGACCUCCCAACACAAAUGCUUGUUUUUGCCUUACAGCUUCUGCACAAUUGCGUUGCCAACACACGGUUACUUUAACUCUGGUGGUCUAGGGUGUCGACCAGCUAAGAUGUUUUUGUAUUUGAGGGUGGUUGUGUUUAGAGGGUGGGGGUAGGUUGCAAGAUACGACACGUUGCAAUCGGACUAUUUUUUUCUCUCUCUUCGGUCUCAUUGAUCUUCCUACUUGUUCGGACAGAUUGAACAGCCUGGUUUUCUCUAGUCUGCCGAUCUAUCUGCCUCGGUUCUUUCCCUCUUCUCACAGCUAUUAUUUGUGAGGACCGUGCUGGAGACACCGCACCCGCGUGUCCGGUCAGGGCGCUGAGUCGACUGCCCAGGGAGCACUAGAUGACUUGACCCAGCUGGCAGGGGCAAAAAUGAAACAAAUACAAAAAGGAGGCCAGGCCAGGGUGGGGUUCCUAGCACCCCACCGCCUUACCGCGCUUCACUCUCCUCCCGAAUCUGGGGGUUGGAGGGUGGGGAACGGUAGAAACAGACCAGGAAGGCGCUCGCCUUCCGUGACCUGCACGGUCACUCCCGGAAAAUAAAGGAACCGCACACAACAGCCCACACCUUCCUCCCCAACUAUUGUUUCCUGCGAGAUCCCAAAGUUUCCAUCCAGCUACGUCCCCCUCUCCAAGUUUCCCGGGCGCAGGACGGCGGGUAGGGGGGGCAAGCUGCCUGCGCUGCCCAGCCCUCCCUGCUUGUUUCUUUUGGGGCAGGGGGUGGCACCCCAAGGCAACAGAGGCGCAGGGGAGUGUACCCGUGGACGCGACCGCCCAAGCCGAGCCCUGCUGCGAGAGGGAGGAAAAGCAAAGUAGCCCGGAGGGAGAAGCAGAGCCCACAGCCCCAGCGGGCCCGCGCCGAGGAGACUGUUUGGUGGAACGAGCGACAGAAAAACAACACUUGUCUGCCCGAGAAGGCUCCGGAAAAAAAAAAAAAAA